rnacentral:rRNA from 1 species
CUGGUUGAUCCUGCCAGAGGUUACUGCUAUCGAGGUUCGACUAAGCCAUGCGAGUCGAAUGUAGCAAUGCAUGGCGUACUGCUCAGUAACACGUGGACAACCUGCCCUUAGGUCGGGUAUAAACCCGGGAAACUGGGUAUAAUCCCCGAUAGGUCUCGGCUGCUGGAAUGCAUCGAGAUUUAAAGCUCCGGCGCCUAAGGAUGGGUCUGCGGCCUAUCAGGUAGUAGUGGGUGUAGCGUACCUACUAGCCUACGACGGGUACGGGUUGUGAGAGCAAGAGCCCGGAGAUGGAUUCUGAGACACGAAUCCAGGCCCUACGGGGUGCAGCAGGCGCGAAAACUUUACAAUGCUGGCAACAGCGAUAAGGGAACCUCGAGUGCCAGGUUCCAAAUCUGGCUGUCGAGAUGCCUAAAAAGCAUUUCAUAGCAAGGGCCGGGCAAGACCGGUGCCAGCCGCCGCGGUAACACCGGCGGCUCGAGUGGUAACCGUUAUUAUUGGGUCUAAAGGGUCUGUAGCCGGCCGGAUAAGUCUCUUGAGAAAUCUGGCAGCUUAACUGUCAGGCUUUCAGGAGAUACUGUCUGGCUCGAGGCCGGGAGAGGUGGGAGGUACUUCAGGGGUAGGGGUGAAAUCUUGUAAUCCUUGAAGGACCACCAGUGGCGAAGGCGUCCCACCAGAACGGACCUGACGGCAAGGGACGAAAGCUAGGGGCACGAACCGGAUUAGAUACCCGGGUAGUCCUAGCCGUAAACGAUACUCGCUAGGUGUCGGCCACGGUGCGACCGUUGUCGGUGCCGUAGGGAAGCCGUGAAGCGAGCCACCUGGGAAGUACGGCCGCAAGGCUGAAACUUAAAGGAAUUGGCGGGGGAGCACCAC